rnacentral:rRNA from 1 species
CCUACGGGAGGCAGCAGUGAGGAAUAUUGGUCAAUGGACGAGAGUCUGAACCAGCCAAGUAGCGUGAAGGAUGACUGCCCUAUGGGUUGUAAACUUCUUUUAUAUGGGAAUAAAAUGUUUCACGUGUGGGAUUUUGUAUGUACCAUAUGAAUAAGGAUCGGCUAACUCCGUGCCAGCAGCCGCGGUAAUACGGAGGAUCCGAGCGUUAUCCGGAUUUAUUGGGUUUAAAGGGAGCGUAGGUGGAUUGUUAAGUCAGUUGUGAAAGUUUGCGGCUCAACCGUAAAAUUGCAGUUGAAACUGGCAGUCUUGAGUACAGGAGAGGUGGGCGGAAUUCGUGGUGUAGCGGUGAAAUGCUUAGAUAUCACGAAGAACUCCGAUUGCGAAGGCAGUUCACUGGACUGCAACUGACACUGAGGCUCGAAAGUGUGGGUAUCAAACAGGAUUAGAUACCCCUGUAGUC